GUCGCACCUCGGAGCCCCUAGUAGAGGGGCUGUGUGCUGUGAAUUGUGUACCUGGGUCACCUUGCGUGGCUGUAGCCAGUACACGCCUAGGUCAAGCGUGGGUUAUCUGUGCCUUCACUGGUUGCUUCUCAUUGGAAAUGACUGUCAUGCUCACCUUGGGCAGGCUCUGGAGAUCAUCCGGGGCUGUCAAGGCCUGAAUGUGGUGGGCUGUGACCUUGUGGAAGUUUCCCCGCCGUAUGAUCUCUCUGGUGAGUGAAGAGCAAGAGCGAUCCACAGGUGGCUGUUGGUUUAGAUUCAUCCAGUUAGGAGGCAGGCCUCCAUGUUUACCUCGGGGACCCUGUGGAGAAUGUCCAACGGUGAAGCCUGUUACCACGACCCAGACAAGCAUGAGCUAAUGCAAGGAACAAAGCCCCUGGGAGGUGCCAGGGGCUGCUGUUCAGUGGCAGGGUGGCUCAGUGGCAUCCCUUUGGUGUCUUCAUUGAGACAUGAAUUUGCAAAGCAUGCUUUACUGUGAAGGAGGGGGCUGCUUCGGCUGACACCUGGGCAAAGCAGAUGUCACCCCUGUCAUUCUAACUGUGGAAGAAAGAAAGGAGCUUCUGAUUAGGCCUACCGGCCUGAGGGUGGGCCCCAAGCAGUCACUGGUAUCAAAGGUCCCUCAGAAUUCUCAUUCGGUCUCCAGAAGAUGCUUGGUAGGGACUGAG
rnacentral:lncRNA from 1 species